rnacentral:snRNA from 1 species
AUACCUUUCUCGGCCUUUUGGCUAAGAUCAAGUGUAGUAUCUAUUCUUAUCAGUUUAAUAUCUGAUAUGUGGUUCAUAGAAGAACAUGAUAUUAAAUGUAUUUUUCUAGGGGGAGGGCCCACUCACAAUAGCUUGCUAUUGGGGCUCUCACAAUUGUUUGUUGGAUUGAAUUUUAUUUGUUUUGGUAAUUUGAAACA